rnacentral:tRNA from 1 species
GCGCCCGUAGCUCAGUUGGAUAGAGCAACGGAUUUCUAAUCCGUAGGUCGGGGGUUCGAAUCCCUCCGGGCGUGCCU